UGGUGGAGUGAUCUUUCUGGUUAGUUCUGUUAACGAUUCAGACCUAAACCUGCUAAAUAGUCUCACCUGACUCUGCGUUAACUUCUUGGAGGGACGUUGCGUGUCUAAUACAGGGAAGUUUGAGGCGAUGCCG
rnacentral:rRNA from 1 species